rnacentral:lncRNA from 1 species
GAUACGUGGUAUUGAAAAGAUCCUAUGAAAAUGGUGUCCUAGCCAAACAUCCCCAACAUGACCCCCCUAGAUGCCCAUGGGGCUCUCCCUUUUAUAGGCCAAAAUCUCAGCAUUGGAGCUUCAUCUUCAUCGCAUUUUGUAUGCUUGCACCCUCGCCCGACGCAUGCUCGAAGGCUGGUGUCCAACCAUUGUUGGCUGCCGAUUUUCCUUUCAUGGCCCACAUGC